rnacentral:rRNA from 1 species
GACGAACGCUGGCGGCGUGCCUAAUACAUGCAAGUAGAACGCACAGUUUAUACCGUAGCUUGCUACACCAUAGACUGUGAGUUGCGAACGGGUGAGUAACGCGUAGGUAACCUGCCUGGUAGCGGGGGAUAACUAUUGGAAACGAUAGCUAAUACCGCAUAAUAUUGAUUAUUGCAUGAUAAUUGAUUGAAAGAUGCUAUUGCAUCACUACCAGAUGGACCUGCGUUGUAUUAGCUAGUGGGUGAGGUAACGGCUCACCUAGGCGACGAUACAUAGCCGACCUGAGAGGGUGAUCGGCCACACUGGGACUGAGACACGGCCCAGACUCCUACGGGAGGCAGCAGUAGGGAAUCUUCGGCAAUGGACGAAAGUCUGACCGAGCAACGCCGCGUGAGUGAAGAAGGUUUUCGGAUCGUAAAGCUCUGUUGUAAGAGAAGAACGGGUGUGAGAGUGGAAAGUUCACACUGUGACGGUAUCUUACCAGAAAGGGACGGCUAACUACGUG